rnacentral:rRNA from 1 species
AUGUUCCCCAACAAUGUCAUCAGAGGAGUCCUUGAGUUUUUUGAGAGUGGGGCUCUACCGGAUGGAAUCAAUGAUACAGUGAUCGUUCUCAUCCCCAAAGGAAGUGACCCGCAGUUGAUCAAGGACUAUAGGCCGAUCAGUCUGUGCAACGUCAUUUAUAAGGUGGUGUCAAAAUGCCUUGUCAAUAGACUACGGCCCAUCUUAGAUGAGAUUAUCUCCGAAACGCAGAGCGCCUUUAUCCCGGGUAGAAUGAUCACAGACAAUGCCAUCAUUGCGUUUGAAUGCUUCCACAAAAUCCAACACUCCAAGAAUGCCAGAGAUAAUUAUUGUGCAUAUAAGCUGGACCUUGCCAAAGCCUACGAUAGAGUGGAUUGGGAUUUCUUGGAAGGAGUGCUCCAAAAGUUUGGUUUCUGCAGGAAAUGGACGGACUGGGUUAUGCAGUGUGUGCAAACUGAGACGUACUCAGUGAGAUGCAAUGGAGGACUCUUGGACCCGUUUCCAUCUAGAGGGCUGAGACAAGGGGACCCCCUAAGCCCCUAUCUGUUCCUGUUUGUUGCGGAUGGCCUAGUGCACUUGCUUAAGAAGGAAAUCGCUAAAAACAACUUGACACCCAUUAAGAUUGCGAGAAAUAGCUCGGGCAUCUCAAACCUCCUCUUCACGGAUGAUAGUUUGAUUUUCUUCAAGGCCACGACCAAGCAAGCCGAAACCAUCAAAAGAGUGUUGACCACUUUUCAGAAGUGUACGGGACAACUUCUAAGUGAGAGCAAAUGCUCAAUUCUCUUCAGUGAGGCUUGCCCGGGGCAACUAGAGCGGGCAUUAAAAAUAUCCUGGGGGUACAGUCAGAUUACAUUUGAAAGCAAGUACCUAGGUUUGCCGACGCCUAAAGGGAGAAUGAAGGAUGACCAAUUUCAGCCGAUACUGGACAGAUUUGUGAAAAGAUGCAACGACUGGUCGGAAAGGUUUAUGUCUUAUUCGGCUAAAGAGGUCCAUGUCAAAUCAGUGGUCCAGGGCCUUCCUACGUAUACAAUGAGUGUGUUCAUGCUAUCCAAAGGGUUUUGUGAGAAGUACGAGAGAAUGAUAAGAGAUUUCUGGUGGGGGGACGAAAAUGGGCAUAGAAAGGUCCACUGGAUGUCUUGGGACCGUAUGACAAAACCGAAGAGGGAUGGGGGUAUUGGGUUCAGAGAUAUGCACCUCUUUAACCAGGCACUCCUCGCAAAGCAAGGGUGGAGACUGAUCCAAAACCCUGAUAGCCUCUGUGCGAGAGUUCUUAAGUCAAAGUAUUACCCCAAUGGAAAUAUCCUAGACACCGUCUAUGCAUCAGAUGUUUCACCGGUGUGGAGGGGCAUCGAGUUUGGAUUGCAGCUACUGAAAAAGGGGAUAAUAUGGAGGGUUGGAGAUGGAAAAAGUAUAGAAAUCCAACGAGAUCAGUGGUUUCCUAGAAGGGAGGGUCUCAUGACGGCUGCAUUCAUAAGGAGGUCUAGGCUCCGCUGGGUGAAUCAACUUAUGAGCCCAGAGAGGAAGGAAUGGAACGAAGGCCUCAUCCGCCAGAUCUUCUACCCUUUCGAUGCCGACGAGAUAUGCAAACUCCCGAUCCCAAGCUCGAACGUAGGAGACCAACUUGCCUGUCAUUAUGAAAGCAACGGAGUCUUUACGGUUAAGAGCGUGUACAAGUUAGCUACAAAACUUGCCCAAUAG